UAAGUAAGUAGGUUUUUGAAAAAUUAUUUUAUCUUAAUGCAAGAUACUUCAACCUGAAUUAUCUUGAAGAUUUGGAAGAUACAGUUAUAUUUAUACUCUAUAUUAAUAUGCAAACUUCUGCAAAUAAACAUUCAAUAACUACAGCAUUUAAAACGUACAACAUUCAAGCCAGUCUUGUCAAGUGACGAAGAGAUUUCAAUUUUUGAUUCUACACCGCAAACUGCCGAAUUUGCAUUGCAAGACGAUGACCAAGAUCCCCAAUCUCCCUUGGUAAGUCCCCCAGGUGGAUGUAAAUCAAUAGUUGCUUCGUGAGGGUUCAGAUAGCUUCUACACCUGAAUUUGAAAUCAGUAGCGCCAUAAUCGUCGCUGAAAGGUCCUUUAUACGGAAGUAGUCUUACUACAAAGGCUACCAUGUACAUUCCAUCAGGACAAUAGCUUGUACCAUACCAGACUCCAUCUUGAGCAGUACCAGAUUUAACACUUGUACCAGUAGUAUUAUCGUAAGGCCUCUUACAUUCUAAUCGAACAUUGUUCAAUGCGGUAUCGUCUCCACCAGCAGGAUCAACUCGAAGUUGUAUACCGUUGACGAAAUAACCGUGAGAACAAUAUUUAUAACCUUUCCAAUCUCCAAAUUGAAGAGUAUUUGAAUGUGUUAGUUCAUCGGAGAUUUGAAUUCCAUUAUUAAUUGCACAAGUUGUUCCACUGAAACCCCCUACACACAAACAUCGAAAAUGCUGCGAAUCAGAUGUUCUAACACACGAUCCAAAAUUUGUGCAAGGAUUAGGAUUACAACCGUCAUUUUGACAAAAUUUUCCAUAAAAUCCAGUGUUACAUAAACAUUUUCGGUUCCAGAUAUUAUAAUUACCAUUGUGAUAGCAAUCUGACACCGCAAUUUUAUUGUAAACUUUAUAAACUUUUGCUGUAGGAGUUGUACAAGAGGUAAUUAGAGAUGAAUGAUGAAAACAUCUUCGAUCUGAAGAAUAGGUCGCAGCAAAACAUCCUUUAUCUCUUGAACAGAGAGUAUAACAAAUAAACUCCCUAUUAGUAACGAACGUUUUGAUAAUAGAGCCAGGAGGACUUCCUGAUUUACAAUAAAGUCCUAAAAUAUGAAAAAUUGUCGCAAGUGAAAAAUUCCACAAACAUAAGAAUAUCAGAGUUCUGAAUACUAUUAUUCUGGCUGAAUGAGACAGAAACAUUUUCUCAAAUGGAAUAUAAGCAUAGUUUUUCACAUAUUAGUAUGUCCUAUUGAAUAGGAUGAUCAAUAAUAAAUCUAUAGAUAUUAAACUAAUCACAUGUGACCGUUUCUCUUAAGACAAUAAAAAAAAUAGAGUAAGAAACGCCUGAUAUUAGUUAUUAGUACUACUUGAAAGGUCGUACCAAUCGACGUUUAUCGAUAACUAAUGUCUUGUAGUUUUUCCCCAUUUCCUUGAAAAUGUUCAAUAAUAUGUCAAUGACUUCGAAGUUACCAAUAAAGAUCGCGUUUUUAAAACAAUAAGGUGAUAAUCGAUUGUCUUAUAAGAAAGCCGUAGUGAUUAAAACGUCUUAAUGUUAAUAAUUAAUAUUUUUUUUUUUGAAAGGUGAAAGACACUUUCAACAUUAUUCAAGUAUUAUCUAUUAGACAUACUAGAUGUCAGCACUCGUAUAUGAUAACUUGAUUCUUUUUUACUUUUUUCUUUACUACAACCAUUUAGCAUCUACUUUCAUACUUUAUUCGUAAUUUUAUACCCUAAAUGGCACAAGUGUUGACUAGAGCAUCCUUUUUCAGUUAUACAAACCUUACUUCUGUACCAUUUGUUUGUUUUACUAACUAAUAAUUUUGUAUAUAGAAUGUGUUAGCCUGCAAACUGUAAUAGUAUAGUUCCACAUAUAUAGUUUUUAAGAUAAUUUCUAGGCUAUUAUGAAAACGAAAGUCUCGCGGCACCAAGAUAAUAAGGAGAUAAUUUGUACAUUAAUCUCCUUCAGCCUUAAAAAAUAUGAGGUAAAUUAUACUUUAAUAAGCCUAUUACUACGUCCUAUUAACAGCAUUAAUUAAUAAUAAUGUGUGUUAUAAUAAGGGAUUUUCUCACUACGGUAUGUUCCUGUAAUUAAAAAAACCCCUCAAUUCAUCAAUUCUACUUCCUUAUAGAUUUCUUUAUAUUUCCCUCUCUUUUCUAUUCCUUUUUUUAUUUUUUUCUUCCCUCUCUCUCUCUCUCUCCCUAUAUUAUAAACCACCCUAAAAUAUAGCAGCUAUUUAUCCGGUCUAGUUUACUAGAUAUAUGAUUUGAGGGAGAUCGCUUGCAUAAAACUAUAUGAAAAAGUUACUAUUCAUAUCUAAUCCGGAUUAUGUAUUAUUACUAACCAGAUUAUCCUCUGGCUUAUUCUGCUUCAUUUAGUAGUCACUUAAAACCUCUGAAUCUGCAACUUUCUCGUUACUUUUAGGGAUGCAAUCUUAGUGAAACCGUGGGAUAGUGUUAAAAAUCCCUUUCUCGAAUUCGAUUGGAUAAUAGCACUGAAGACGACUGUUUCUCCAUCUAGAGUCCAGUUCUAACUGCAGCACAAUGGCUGUGUAAUUUUUACGUUUGAAUUUGUUCUCAUGUCUGAUAUUUUUCCCCGUACGGGCUUUAUGCUUAAAAAGAGGAUAUAUAUGACGUUUAUCCACUUGUCUGCAAGUUCCAUCAAAUCCUGCCGAAAAAUUACACUUGAAACUCUGACCGAUAGGCCUUCUCAAGCAGGUUCAAGUUUCUGUGGAGCCCUCUCUCUCUUACCCCUUCAAAGAGAGUGAAAAAGAAAAUAUAUUUUACCCAAGGGAGAAAAUACUAAUGGUGUAUUGGUAAGGAAUUGUUUCUUUUUUGCAAGGGUUCCUUCAUAACAUUCCAUUUCAUAUUCUGUUAAAAUUAUGCUGAUGGCGCAAUUAGACACAAUUACUUUCGUAUAGACAGUGACAGAGAGACUCGUACGUCGAAAAAGAAAGGCAUGUCACGACCCCGUCAACAGAAUGGGGUUUCUUAUUGGUCAGUCUGAAGGAAAUAUAUAUAUAUAUUGAAAUGACCAUUGGAGUAUUGUAUAACAGAAUAUUCCGAUUAGAAAAGAAAUCAAGAAAUAGAGGCAAGGAGUUUUUUAAUAAAAGUAAUACUAGAACCUAUAUCAUAUUUUAAUAGAAACCCUCUCUUUUUAUUUAUCGAAUUGUUCAAAUGCCCAUUCUUUUACCAAGCCAGGCGCAUCAAUCCCCUUUUAUACUCUUUCUAUUUCAAUCAAUAACGAAAUCCUGGCUUAUAACCUGAUAAACAAUCCUACUCAUUUUUUUCCUAUCUUAUUCCAUCGUUUAUACGUUUAUUAUUAAAAAGAGAAGAAAAAGUAAAAGAAGACGAACAAACAAAACAAAGGUAAACGGUUAAGUUUUGUGUAAACAAUACUCUAAUGUUGACACUCAAGCAGAUUUAUAAGCCUAUUGGGAGAGAUUCACUUAUUAAAUAUAUAUAUAAUAUACUGUAUAUACUAUGUAUAAAUAGUCUUUACGUAAAAAGCAUAGAUAAACUUGUAUAUAAGGGGAGAAAUAGUUUGACCAUUUUCUUAUUACUCACGCACGUUUCUAAUUGAAGACGUCAAUAUAAUUAUGUUGCCUUUUAAAUAUUUAAUAGCGUUAGUUGAAGUUUAUCUUUACAAAAAAAAAAUAGGCCUUAAUUAGUCAUUUUUCUGUUUCUUUAUCUAUUUUUAACUUGCGUAGCAUUUUUUUUUCUCUUGACUUACUUAAAUCCGUCUAAUCUUUUGAUGAAGUUUUCUGCUUCUUUUUUGUCUAGUAUUUCAGGUAUUCAAUGAUAUAACUGUGGGUGGUCUAUUAAGCAAAUAACAAACUCACGAAUGUAUGUUAUGGAUGAUGCAAUUUGAUAGUAAUGUAUAAAUAUACAUAUAAAGCGUCUAUUAAUAUAUUUAUAUUACGCUUCAUAGCGCGUGGAAAGAGAGAGCAACCGAGAGUUAUUUUUGUGUGUAAAAGCUUUAUACUGUCUAUUACUAUAAACGCCUAUAUUUAAAGCUCACUUACAUAAAUAUAAAUGAGGGAUUAAAGUAUAUAAAAAGGGCACGUAAAGUCAAUUAUAGGCUAGUUGUUUCAUCUAACAGCUGUUCAUUGACUUUCAGCUCACGCUUACGGUAUGGAAACACUCGGGGCGGAAGAAAGGAUUAAAACGGCUCAUCAGGAAUUUCGACGACGACGCUCACUAACUUUAGAAAGUCAUUCGAGCCCUUUUACUGGAAGCUCACUUGGAAAAUGUUUAGAACAAAGAAGACAAAGUAUGACCAGUGAUGAGGAUGAUAAUGGGAGGCUAUCAACUUUGCAGACGACACUGCAUAGUUCUCAGGCCGGCAAUCUAUCUUAUUAUGGAACUGAUAGAAGAAGAUGCUUUAUUCAGCACGGCUUUGUAAAUUGCGCUUUGCAAGUACUGAUUACGAAGAAGUAUGGUAUAGAGAUUUGGAACGAAAUUCGGCAACUCUGCCGGGAAAAGCUUCGUUCGCCGUCUGUUUUUAGGAGAAUGCUAUACGACAAUAUGAAUUCGAAUUAUGAUUCUGUUGAAGCAACGUCUGAAGUUUUAGGGCUGGGAACGAAUGCCGUAUGGGAAAUGUUCGGAGAAAUGUUUUUUGACUUUUGCGAAGAAUCUGGUUAUGAUAGGAUAUUAAGCGUUCUGGGUGGAACACUAAGGGAUUUUCUUCAAAACUUGGACGCUCUUCACGAUCAUUUGGCCACUAUAUAUCCCGGGAUGAGACCGCCGUCCUUUCGCUGUAGUGAAAAACGUCCAGAUGGAUCAAUGAUAUUGCAUUACUAUUCAGAGAGAAAAGGCCUUGAGCACGUAGUUAUAGGUAUGGUAAAGGCGAUCGCUCAACGUCUACAUAGUAAAGAAGUAACUGUCGAAAUAGUAUCGACGACCUGGGAAUUUUGUCGAGAUCAUGUGCAGUUCCUAAUUCGAGAAAGAGUAGCCCAAAAUCCAGCUUUAGUUCGAUAUGAUCAUUCAGUGGAGCUAUUAUCAGAAACACCUUUAAUUAGUCCUGCGACCUUCUGUAAAGCCUUUCCUUUUCACGUGAUAAUGAAUCGUGAAUUGAAUAUAGUGCAAGUUGGCCAAUCUUUAUCUAGAGUUGUUCCGGAACUCAAUCAGCCGAAUUGCAGCUUCAAGGACGUUUUUCAAAUAGUUCGACCACACCUGGUUGACACCACAUAUGAGCAGAUAAUUAAUCAUGCUGAUAAUACAACAUUUGUUGUUAGAGUCAGGGACAAAAGAAGUCAGUCACCGAGACAAUCAAUAGAUGUUCCAUCUUUUGCAUUUUUAAGGCAACAGGCAAGAUUAGGCAUUCCGGACGCUGGUUGCCGAACGAGGAUGCGUCUCAAGGGACAAAUGGUCGAGCUUCCGGACCGCCUACUGUUCCUAUCCUCACCUAACUUUGCCAACAUCGACGAGUUACUGGAAAGAGGACUCUAUUUAAGCGAUAUACCAAUACACGACGCUACUAGAGAUCUUAUUUUAUUAAGCGAACAGUUUAGAGCCGAAUACGAAUUAACUCAAAAACUUGAAGUACUGAAUGACAAAAUGCAGCAGACUUACAAGGAACUCGAAAUUGAAAAGCAGCUGACCGAUAAACUAGUAUAUUCCAUUCUACCGCCUACCGUUGCUAAUAGACUACGAUUAGGUGAACCAGUAGAGGCUAAAAAAUACUCAUCUGCUUCCAUACUUUUUAGCGGUAUAUACGAUUUUAAUUCAUUUUGCAAUAGUAAUACUCCUAUAAAAGUUGUUAACCUCCUUAACGAAUUAUAUACAAAAUUCGAUUCUUUGGCGGAACCUCAAAUCUAUGAUGUUUAUAAGGUCGAAACUGUUGGAGAUAAGUACAUGCUGGCGAGCGGUUUACCGGAACGAAGCGGCAGACAUGCGAAAAAUAUUGCGUUGGUCGCGUUAGACAUGAUGGAUAUCGUGCGCGAAUUGCAAGUCGAUGGUCAGAACAUACGGUUGACAAUUGGUAUACACAGUGGAGAAGUUGUCGCCGGAGUUGUAGGUCAAAAGUUACCUAGAUAUGCUGUUUUUGGUAGCACUGUAUGUUUAGCCAGCAGGAUGGAAAGUACCGGGUUGACAGAUUGCAUUAACAUAUCGGAGACCACUUUUGAAUGUCUACAAACAGAGGAAAAUAGAGACGAACAAUUCGAAAUCAAAAAAAGGGGUUUGGUACCGAUGAAAGGUCGAAAAGAGCCUAUGGCGUGUUACAUUCUCUCUAGAAACCUUAGAAACCUACCCAAAGUUCAAAUGAUGUUGGAAAGCGGUAUUCCAGUCCAAUCCAGUCGACCGCCUUCGGGAACAGCAACGUCACCAUUAAGCCUAAGCGAUCAGUUGACUGCAAACACGCUACGACAAGUAGCGCUCAACUUGCAGGACUAUAUAUAAUAGUAUUAUUUUGAAUUUAAGUCAAUUUUAUAUAUAUCUUCCAUAAAUACAUAUGAUAAAAUGAGCAUAAUAUACAAGUGUAAAAAAUGAGAAAAAAAUAGACGACAGGAUAAAUGCCUCGACGCCUAUCGAUCGUGGUGAAAUUUUACACCAGUAGAAAAUCUAUCAGUCGAAUUAAUUCGGCGUAUAAAUCACAUGAUGC
rnacentral:misc_RNA from 1 species